CCUACGGGUGGCUGCAGUGGGGAAUAUUGGACAAUGGGCGCAAGCCUGAUCCAGCCAUGCCGCGUGUGUGAAGAAGGCCUUCGGGUUGUAAAGCACUUUUGUCCGGGAAGAAAAGCCAGGGAUUAAUACUCCCGGGUUCUGACGGUACCGGAAGAAUAAGCACCGGCUAACUUCGUGCCAGCAGCCGCGGUAAUACGAAGGGUGCAAGCGUUACUCGGAAUUACUGGGCGUAAAGCGUGCGUAGGUGGUUCGUUAAGUCUGCCGUGAAAGCCCCG
rnacentral:rRNA from 1 species